GGUCAAAAUGAACUGUUUAUUGAAAAUUCAUAUAAUUUCAUUACUCUUAAUCAUUUGUUUGUAAGUAAUAGAAAGUAGAAAUGUUUAACAAUCUUCAUGCUUUUUAAGAAGUAUGAUUCACUCUCUUUCUGGGUAAGAGUAAUGAUGCUAAAUGGUCUUUGGGUCAAAACAUCACAUUCCAGAGCUUGAGCUUGUAUGAAGUAGAUCAUUAUGGUCAAGGCUUAGCAUCUGUGAAUGGAGAGUGAUAACUGAAUAAAAGGGAGAGAGGAUUUUACUCCAAUUCACUCCUGCACUGCACCCCAUUCAUGGGGCAGGCAGAGAGGCUUCUUCAUUUUUGGGUCAGAAUUAUAGGUAUUUGACAUUACAUUCGUGUAGCGGGUGAGGCUAUCACAAGAGGAAAUAUGGUCCUCUAGGCCAGAUUGCCAGGGUUUUUUAUUUCUUUAUCUUUUGUUCCUGUACUUGGAAAUUUUGUAUAUAACGACUCAUCGAUAUUAAACGAACCGAAACAC